rnacentral:snRNA from 1 species
CGUUCGAAUUGUAGUCUGG